CAGGUUCCUAAUCAUAUAUUAUAUAAAAAUAACAAUUCAGUUUUUAGGUCCUUAUCAUUUCUUUUAAUUGGCCUAGUAGUUUUUUUUUUUUUUGCUAAAAAUUGACUUUAGUAGUGUUCAGAAAAGUAUAAUACAACAGUGAGGAAUAACUUUCAUUUUUUGUUGGUCCAAUUUCAUUUUCAUGAAAAUCUCAAAGAGGAAAUUAGAAGAUGAGAUUGGCAAAGCUCGUCUCUCACCAUUUAUACAUCUUGUAUUUCUAAAAGAAAUCAAACCUUAUAUAUGAGCUUGCAUCCUCAAAUCAUUUUCC
rnacentral:lncRNA from 1 species